UUCCCAAUGCCUUCCAUGCCUA
rnacentral:miRNA from 1 species